GCCUACCGCAGCCUAUCAUGCAAGUCGAGCGAACUGAUUAGAAGCUUGCUUCUAUGACGUUAGCGGCGGACGGGUGAGUAACACGUGGGCAACCUGCCUGUAAGACUGGGAUAACUUCGGGAAACCGAAGCUAAUACCGGAUAGGAUCUUCUCCUUCAUGGGAGAUGAUUGAAAGAUGGUUUCGGCUAUCACUUACAGAUGGGCCCGCGGUGCAUUAGCUAGUUGGUGAGGUAACGGCUCACCAAGGCAACGAUGCAUAGCCGACCUGAGAGGGUGAUCGGCCACACUGGGACUGAGACACGGCCCAGACUCCUACGGGAGGCAGCAGUAGGGAAUCUUCCGCAAUGGACGAAAGUCUGACGGAGCAACGCCGCGUGAGUGAUGAAGGCUUUCGGGUCGUAAAACUCUGUUGUUAGGGAAGAACAAGUACGAGAGUAACUGCUCGUACCUUGACGGUACCUAACCAGAAAGCCACGGCUAACUACGUGCCAGCAGCCGCGGUAAUACGUAGGUGGCAAGCGUUAUCCGGAAUUAUUGGGCGUAAAGCGCGCGCAGGCGGUUUCUUAAGUCUGAUGUGAAAGCCCACGGCUCAACCGUGGAGGGUCAUUGGAAACUGGGGAACUUGAGUGCAGAAGAGAAAAGCGGAAUUCCACGUGUAGCGGUGAAAUGCGUAGAGAUGUGGAGGAACACCAGUGGCGAAGGCGGCUUUUUGGUCUGUAACUGACGCUGAGGCGCGAAAGCGUGGGGAGCAAACAGGAUUAGAUACCCUGGUAGUCCACGCCGUAAACGAUGAGUGCUAAGUGUUAGAGGGUUUCCGCCCUUUAGUGCUGCAGCUAACGCAUUAAGCACUCCGCCUGGGGAGUACGGUCGCAAGACUGAAACUCAAAGGAAUUGACGGGGGCCCGCACAAGCGGUGGAGCAUGUGGUUUAUUCGAAGCAACGCGAAGAACCUUACCAGGUCUUGACAUCCUCUGACAACUCUAGAGAUAGAGCGUUCCCCUUCGGGGACAGAGUGACAGGUGGUGCAUGGUUGUCGUCAGCUUCGUGUCGUGAGAUGUUGGGUUAAGUCCCGGCAACGAAGCGCAACCCUUGAAUCUUAGUUGGCUAG
rnacentral:rRNA from 2 species